GGACUACCGGGGUAUCUAAUCCUUUUUGCUCCCCACGCUUUCGCAUCUCAGAGUCAGGAAGGUACCAGUGCACUGCCUUCGCCUUUGGUGUUCCCCACGAUAUCAACGGAUUUCACCCCUACACCGUGAGUUCCAUGCACCUCUCACCUCCUCCAGCCCGAUCGUAUCUCCGGCAGUUCCACCGUUAGGCAGUGGGCUUUAACCAGAGACGCACCGGGCCUCCUACAUGCUCUUUACGCCCAAUAAAUCCGGAUAACGCUUGUGGUCUACGUAUUACCGCGGCUGCUGGCAC
rnacentral:rRNA from 1 species